GAGGGAAAAGGCCAGCCGGCUUUCGGGGCGCUCCUCUCCUCUGUUCCCCGAGCCGCCCGGCAGCCAACAGGCGUCUUCACUGCCUCUUGAACUCGGGACACAACCUUCCUGCCGGUGCCCUCCCCGCCUGCUGGGUGGUCCGUAAUUAAUCCCCCGCCACAGGCGGUACGGGAUUUACACGUCCUCGCCCAGCAGGCCUCCCCGCCUAAUCCCCGGUUCUUGUUACUCGCCUCGGGGGGCCGCCAGCACCUCCGAGAGCCCCUCGCCUCUCCGCCCGCCCCCCCUGCCCUCCCCGCGCUUUUCCUGUCCGAUUCAGUGAUGAAGAGGUAGAUGCAAUGAAUACGGCAGAAUCAGACGCCUCCCACCCACCCCCGCCUUUCUGCAGCGACCGUAGCCUUUUCCCAAUGCUUUCAUCCGCGCCUUCCCCGAGCGGGUGCGCGGCCUUCCCGGGCUGGUCUUGGAGCUAGGGCGACAGACGGAGAAGCCUCGCUCGUUUGGAGAGGCGAAACGAAGAUGACGGGUGUAAAAAAAAAAAAAAAAAAAAAGUGAAGAAAUAAAAGCGUAAAAGGAGGGAGCAGCCCCGAAGAGAAGCUGCCAGAUAACCGAGAAGCCUCCCUUCCUGCUCCCCGCUUUGCAUGACAAAAGCCCAGCUGCAGAGAUGGCACCGUCCCUCCUUUCCCUCCCUCUCCACCACCCCCCGCCAAAUUCCCUUCCCCAAUUACCAAUCAAGCCCAUUAUGUGGCAACAAUAGCCGCCAACUCUGGCGGCCCACCCAAGCGGCUAACCUACAGUCCACAGCGUGUGCAAUUUUGGCAGAGGACUCAGGUCUCCCAUCCCGUCAAAAUCCUUAUGUUGGGGCAUCAACGGGGCAAAUGUACCAAUACAGCUGUGACCAUGUGAGUAAAGUAAAAGGGGAGGGUCGGCAGCAUGAAUUAGGAUAUGUACACCCAUAUACACUUUGUGGAAGGUGGGUCAGGAUGAACAGAGUGCAAGAGCUUCUUCCAGGUAGCAAGGACAAAAAUCAGACCACCGUCAGCAAAACCAUCAUCCUUCCAGGUUUCAGUCUUCCCAUGGACUCAUGUCGGUAUCAAUGGCCACACAAUUAUAAGCUGCAUAACGCAAUUUUUCUUCACAAACUUUGGCACUAGAAAUAAAAAAAAAAAAAGGUUAACAUUUCCAGGUAUUCUGAAAAUCCCCAAUACAUCUCUGGUUUACCAAUCUAUCGUUGUUCAAUUAAAGUUUUACUUCACUA